CCUACGGGAGGCAGCAGUAGGGAAUCUUUCACAAUGGGCGAAAGCCUGAUGGAGCAACGCCGCGUGCAGGAUGAAGGCCUUCGGGUUGUAAACUGCUUUUAUAAGCGAGAAAUAUGAUGGUAACUUAUGAAUAAGGAUCGGCUAACUACGUGCCAGCAGCCGCGGUCAUACGUAGGAUCCGAGCAUUAUCCGGAGUGACUGGGUGUAAAGAGUUGCGUAGGUGGCAUAAUAAGUAGAUAGUGAAAUCUGGUGGCUCAACCAUUCAGACUAUUAGCUAAACUGUUAAGCUCGAGACCGUUAGGGGUAACUGGAAUGUCUAGUGUAGGAGUGAAAUCCGUAGAUAUUAGAAGGAACACCAAUAGCGUAGGCAGGUUGCUGGGACGGUUCUGACACUAAGGCACGAAAGCGUAGGGAGCAAACGGGAUUAGAUACCCGAGUAGUC
rnacentral:rRNA from 1 species